GAGAAGUUCUAAUCAAGGACAUAUUCAUAGGCAGACCAUCUGGUUGAAGUGGGAGGAGAUAUUUGAAGAGAAUGUCUGUGAAGAAGUGAAAGGGGUGAUGAAAGAGAACUCUCUAGUGAGAGAUGAUUAUGGAGCCCUUUUGAGUGAUAGCAAGAGUUGUGUGGCUGUCUGGGAACUAAAAAGGAAUAAGAUUAAUGUAAAUAUAAACCGAGACACCCCAUUAUUUGAGAAGGAUACACUUGGGAGAUUGUCUUGUAAACUAAGUGAAAGAGCUGCCAGACACCAUCUCCUGGAAAUGCCUAGAAGAGACAGGAAGCUAAGAGGAAAACAGCAAACCGUGGAAGAGAGACCUGCCAGUCUGCAUCGUAUCACCCACCUCCCCGAGCUGGGCUCCUCAUACUGACUCAGCAGACAUUUAUCACUAUGAACUUCCCUCUUAGAACUGCUUUUGCUGCAUGCCAUUUUUCUGGCUAGUAAUUCCAGUACCAUGUUGAAAAGUGGCAAGAGUGAACAUCCCUGUCUUGUUCCUGGUCUUAGAAGAAAAGUUUGAAACUUUCAUCAUUGAGUAUGAUGUUGGUGUGGAUUUGCCACAUAUGGCCUUUAUUUUGUAGAGAAAGCUAUUGUUUUACUCUGAUGCUUUUGCAAAAGUGUUUCAUCUUCAAGAGAUCCAUGGAAAUGACUGACAAGUCAAGAAUUAAUUACAUGGAACUGAAUGAACUGAUGAGGAAGAUAUAUAAUUUAAUGUCUUUUUCUUUAGAACAUUGUUUAUAUUCUCUUGAAG
ensembl:lncRNA